rnacentral:misc_RNA from 1 species
AUAUAUAUAUCAACCUUCACUUGUUGAAUGGUUUGGAUGUGGGGGUUUGCUGGACUCUUGAAGGGUUCAGCUCCUCUGAAAUGCAUUAGCAGAACAAUCUGUUCAUUGGUGUGAUAACUAUCUACGCUCUUGAAUAAGAUGCAGUUCAGCUUUCUAACUGUCCUUGGACAAUUUAUCAUUU